rnacentral:rRNA from 1 species
UUAGAGUUUGAUCAUGGCUCAGAUUGAACGCUGGCGGCAGGCCUAACACAUGCAAGUCGAACGGUAACAGGAAUCAGCUUGCUGAUUCGCUGACGAGUGGCGGACGGGUGAGUAAUGUCUGGGAAACUGCCUGAUGGAGGGGGAUAACUACUGGAAACGGUAGCUAAUACCGCAUAACGUCGCAAGACCAAAGAGGGGGACCUUCGGGCCUCUUGCCAUCGGAUGUGCCCAGAUGGGAUUAGCUAGUAGGUGGGGUAACGGCUCACCUAGGCGACGAUCCCUAGCUGGUCUGAGAGGAUGACCAGCCACACUGGAACUGAGACACGGUCCAGACUCCUACGGGAGGCAGCAGUGGGGAAUAUUGCGCAAUGGGCGCAAGCCUGAUGCAGCCAUGCCGCGUGUAUGAAGAAGGCCUUCGGGUUGUAAAGUACUUUCAGCGGGGAGGAAGGGAGUAAAGUUAAUACCUUUGCUCAUUGACGUUACCCGCAGAAGAAGCACCGGCUAACUCCGUGCCAGCAGCCGCGGUAAUAC